AGUAUAUGCCAUGUAUGUGCCAAACUUCCUAACCUAUACAGGCUUCUGUUAUUGGAGGUGGUGGCCAGUCCUGGUGUCUGAGUGAUU